UAGACCCGAAACCGGGUGAUCUAGCCAUGGGCAGGUUGAAGGUUGAGUAACAUCAACUGGAGGACCGAACCGACUAAUGUUGAAAAAUUAGCGGAUGACUUGUGGCUAGGGGUGAAAGGCCAAUCAAACUCGGAGAUAGCUGGUUCUCCCCGAAAGCUAUUUAGGUAGCGCCUCGGACGAAUACUACUGGGGGUAGAGCACUGUUAAGGCUAGGGGGUCAUCCCGACUUACCAACCCUUUGCAAACUCCGAAUACCAGUAAGUACUAUCCGGGAGACACACGGCGGGUGCUAACGUCCGUCGUGGAGAGGGAAACAACCCAGACCGCCAGCUAAGGUCCCAAAGUAUUGCUAAGUGGGAAACGAUGUGGGAAGGCUCAGACAGCUAGGAUGUUGGCUUAGAAGCAGCCAUCAUUUAAAGAAAGCGUAAUAGCUCACUAGUCGAGUCGGCCUGCGCGGAAGAUGUAACGGGGCUAAGCAAUACACCGAAGCUGCGGCAAUAUCUUUUAGAUAUUGGGUAGGGGAGCGUUCUGUAAGCCGUUGAAGGUGAAUCGUAAGGUUUGCUGGAGGUAUCAGAAGUGCGAAUGCUGACAUGAGUAACGACAAAGGGGGUGAAAAACCUCCUCGCCGGAAGACCAAGGGUUCCUGUCCAACGUUAAUCGGGGCAGGGUGAGUCGACCCCUAAGGUGAGGCCGAAAGGCGUAAUCGAUGGGAAACGGGUUAAUAUUCCCGUACUUCUGACUAUUGCGAUGGGGGGACGGAGAAGGCUAGGUGGGCCAGGCGACGGUUGUCCUGGUUCAAGUGCGUAGGCUUGAGAGUUAGGUAAAUCCGGCUCUCUCUAAGGUUGAGACACGACGUCGAGCUGCUACGGCAGUGAAGUCAUUGAUGCCAUGCUUCCAGGAAAAGCCUCUAAGCUUCAGAUAGUCAGGAAUCGUACCCCAAACCGACACAGGUGGUCGGGUAGAGAAUACCAAGGCGCUUGAGAGAACUCGGGUGAAGGAACUAGGCAAAAUGGUACCGUAACUUCGGGAGAAGGUACGCUCUUGAUGGUGAAGUCCCUCGCGGAUGGAGCUGACGAGAGUCGCAGAUACCAGGUGGCUGCAACUGUUUAUUAAAAACACAGCACUGUGCAAAAUCGCAAGAUGACGUAUACGGUGUGACGCCUGCCCGGUGCCGGAAGGUUAAUUGAUGGGGUUAGCGCAAGCGAAGCUCUUGAUCGAAGCCCCGGUAAACGGCGGCCGUAACUAUAACGGUCCUAAGGUAGCGAAAUUCCUUGUCGGGUAAGUUCCGACCUGCACGAAUGGCGUAAUGAUGGCCACGCUGUCUCCACCCGAGACUCAGUGAAAUUGAAAUCGCUGUGAAGAUGCAGUGUACCCGCGGCUAGACGGAAAGACCCCGUGAACCUUUACUACAGCUUGGCACUGAACAUUGAACCUACAUGUGUAGGAUAGGUGGGAGGCUAUGAAGACGUGACGCCAGUUGCGUUGGAGCCGUCCUUGAAAUACCACCCUUGUAUGUUUGAUGUUCUAACUUAGACCCAUUAUCUGGGUUGAGGACAGUGCCUGGUGGGUAGUUUGACUGGGGCGGUCUCCUCCCAAAGAGUAACGGAGGAGCACGAAGGUGGGCUAAUCACGGUUGGACAUCGUGAGGUUAGUGCAAUGGCAUAAGCCCGCUUAACUGCGAGAAUGACGGUUCGAGCAGGUGCGAAAGCAGGUCAUAGUGAUCCGGUGGUUCUGUAUGGAAGGGCCAUCGCUCAACGGAUAAAAGGUACUCCGGGGAUAACAGGCUGAUACCGCCCAAGAGUUCAUAUCGACGGCGGUGUUUGGCACCUCGAUGUCGGCUCAUCACAUCCUGGGGCUGAAGUCGGUCCCAAGGGUAUGGCUGUUCGCCAUUUAAAGUGGUACGCGAGCUGGGUUUAGAACGUCGUGAGACAGUUCGGUCCCUAUCUGCCGUGGGCGUUGGAAGAUUGAAGGGGGCUGCUCCUAGUACGAGAGGACCGGAGUGGACGAACCUCUGGUGUUCGGGUUGUGUCGCCAGACGCAUUGCCCGGUAGCUAAGUUCGGAAUUGAUAAGCGCUGAAAGCAUCUAAGCGCGAAGCGAGCCCUGAGAUGAGUCUUCCC
rnacentral:rRNA from 1 species